CCCUCCUUUUGUGGUCAUAAACCUUGUGUUUAAAUUUCAUUGAUUUCUAUUUACUUAUACUAAAGUUAUUGUGCGAAAACCAAGAAUAAUGCUUAUUUGGGCCCUUUUUUUGGCCCCUAAUUCCUAAACUGUUUAAACUAAAACUCCCAAAAUCAAUCCUAACCUUCCUUUUGUGGUCAUAAACCUUGUGUCAAAAUUUCAUAGAUUUCUAUUUACUUAAGGUGGUAUGGGAGUCUAAAAUAAAAAUGAUAGAAUUUGUUCAUAUUUUGCCAAAACGUAGUAUCUAUUGAUAAAUGUUCAAAAAUAUAAUAAAAACGAUAGGUCACCGCGCAUUUUCUCAAGUUACAGGACGUGACAAAAUGACACAUUUUGUAUGGAUUAUACAGGAAAAAACACCAUUUUGUGAUUAGAAACUAAACAAAAUGAUAGAAUUGUUA
rnacentral:lncRNA from 1 species